rnacentral:tRNA from 1 species
CGGUGGCGUGGGCCAGGUCGGCGAUGCCCUGGACGUUGCGGUUGAUUUCCUCGGUCACCGACGACUGUUCCUCGGUCGCCGCCGCC